rnacentral:ribozyme from 13 species
AAUGGUCUCUCUCUCGUUCUUCUCUCUCCUUUUAUUGUCUUCUUUUCUUCUCUCUUUGUAGUCAUUGAUGCGAAGAAAUGGUGUAAACGCAAGAGAAGAGAUUUAUCAGGAGCAUCACCAGAGAUUGAAAUAGCGAGUUCCCCUAACAAAAAAAUUCCUUCUUCCUCAAAACUCAUCGAAGAGGGAGAGAGAAGAGAGAUGACUUUCU